GGUACAGGUCCUGUAAGGCAGAGAUGAGACACCACAUCAGGAAUACACAGGGUUUGUCAAGGUGUGAAAUAUCAUUCCUGGAGAAUGGGUACUCCACCAUUGACAUUCAGUACUAACACCAAACACUCUCAGAUCAGGUA